CAGGCAUACCUGUUGAUGUGAUAAUGAGUGAUCAGACUCCACUUCAUGGUCCAAAUUCAUUAAGAACACCAGAUACUACCGUUUCUAACAAGGAAAAUGUCAAUAAUAUCGACUCUGCCAUUGGGUCCUCCCAACUGACUGUGUUACCACCGCCACUUCAAUCCUACAGAGGCAGCAAUUCAUAUGGUAAUCAAUUCUGGCUCAUAUUAACUACCAUACAGAGUAAAGACAUAUUAUAUCUCUCUUCUUCCUAUGCAAGGUUUCCUAUCUAAAAGUGUCAUUCUUGGGUUUUCAGGAUAACAUCAACAAGGUAGCAAAGGAUGAGGAUAUACAUAAUAUGCAGGUUGAAGACGUGAUAAAGAAAGACAAGGAUACAAACACUGAGUCGGCAGAGGUGAUACAAGAAGAAUCUACUAUGGAGGAUACAGAGAAUAUGCAGAUUGAUGAGGUGAUAACCGUAUAGGAGGAUACAUAUCCCGAGUCCAUAAAGGCUACACAAGAGUCCAUUACGGAGGGUCCACUAAACAUGCUUUUUGAUGCUGUGAUAACCAAGGACGGAGAUACAAUCCCCGAAUCGACAGAGGCAAGUUUUCUUUCCACAUGUCAUUACUAUUCUAAUUCUAACGCCACAAAUCAGUUUGUAAUUUUUUUAGUACAAUAUCAUAUCAAACAGAUAUUCUCUCUGUUAUAAUAUUAUAAUACCAUGUGUUUCAGCUACCGAGCAAUGACGAAUCAAGUGAAAUACUCAACAAUAAUGAAGUGGAGGAAAAUAAUUGCACGGAGAGCCCAGAGAAUACACCUAUUCUUGAAGAAAACAUAGCAAACAGAGAGACCAAAGAUUCUGAACAUACACAGAAAUUAACCCACAAUGAAACAAGUCAAUAAAUGGUGGCAACUGAGGACAAGAAUUGGCACAAACACCCCUCAUGGGAUCUGGCCAAAAUAAUGGAGCUCAAGGCGAUACAUUUCAUUGG